UUGGGUAGGUGAUGAUGUGACCAGAUGUGUAUUGGGUAGGUGAUGAGGUGACCAGGUGUGUAUUGGGUAGGUGAUGAGGUGACCAGGUGUGUAAGGAAAGAUAAUCAGGUGUGUAUUGGGUAGGUGAUGAGGUGACCAGGUGUGUAUUGGGUAGGUGAUGAGGUGACCAGGUGUGUAAGGAAAGAUAAUCAGAUGUGUAUUGGGUAGGUGAUGAGGUGACCAGGUGUGUAUUGGGUAGGUGAUGAGGUGACCAGGUGUGUAUUGGGUAGGUGAUGAUGUGACCAGGUGUGUAGGGAAAGAUAAUCAGGUGUAUUGGGUAGGUGAUGAUCUGACCAGGUGUGUAUUGGGUGGGUGAUGAGGUGACCAGGUGUGUAUUGGGUAGGUGAUGAGGUGACCAGGUGUGUAGGGAAAGAUAAUCAGGUGUAUUGGGUAGGUGAUGAUGGUCAGGACUGGUGAUGGUGUAGGGGGACUGGUGAUGUGGUCAUAACACACUUAAUCACUUCAUCACUUACUGACUAACAGGUGUGUGUAUUUUGGAAUCUAGAUUUAGUCUUGGUCGUUUGAUGAAAAUGCACAAUAAAUAUAGAAUCAUUUACAUUUUAGCUAAUUUGAGUAUU
ensembl:lncRNA